rnacentral:rRNA from 1 species
CAUUAUUGAAUAAACUUGAUCAGGUUGUUGCUGGCCUUUUGAAGGCAUGUGUGCACACUUGUCAUCUUUAUUUCUCCAACUGUGCACAUAUUGUAGACCAUGGAUGUUGUUGCUAAAUAGCAGAUUUGAGAAGUGCUCAGCUUUCUCUUAUGCAGGUCUAUGUUAUCCAUCCUUUUACACACUGUUUUAGAAUGUUUAUUUUGGAAAAUACAAAUGUACAACUUUCAGCAACGGAUCUCUUGGUUCUCGCAUCGAUGAAGAACGCAGCGAAAUGCGAUAAGUAAUGUGAAUUGCAGAAUUCAGUGAAUCAUCGAAUCUUUGAACGCAACUUGCGCUCCUUGGUACUCUGAGGAGCAUGCCUGUUUGAGUGUCAUUAAACUCCUUCUCAACCCAUCCAGUUUCUCUGUGUGUGGGCUUUGGACAUUGGGGGCUUGCUGGUUGCUAUUUUUCCAGCUCUCCUGAAAAGCAUCAGCAGCAUCAGGGGCUGCUUGCAGGUGUGAUAACUUGUCUACACCUUUGCAGUGGCUGCAUUUGUGCUGCUUUAGAGGGCAUUGAUGAAAUUUGACCUCAAAUCAGGUAGGACUACCCGCUGAACU